UACAGAGGGUGCUAGCGUUGUUCGGAAUCAUUGGGCGUAAAGCGUGCGCAGGCGGUUUUGUAAGCCAGAUGUGAAAUCCCCGGGCUUAACCUGGGAAUGGCAUUUGGGACUGCAAGGCUUGAGUUUGGCAGAGGAGACUGGAAUUCCUGGUGUAGCAGUGAAAUGCGUAGAUAUCAGGAGGAAUACCGAUGGCGAAGGCAGGUCUCUGGGCUAGAACUGACGCUCAUGCACGAAAGCGUGGGA
rnacentral:rRNA from 1 species